rnacentral:tRNA from 1 species
GUGAGACUGUGGCUCAGUGGUACAGCAUCUGCUUUGAAUGCAGAAGGUGGUAGUUUCAAUUCUAGGUACACACA